rnacentral:rRNA from 1 species
CCUACGGGUGGCUGCAGUGAGGAAUAUUGGACAAUGGGCGCAAGCCUGAUCCAGCCAUGCCGCGUGCAGGAUGACGGUCCUAUGGAUUGUAAACUGCUUUUGUACGAGAAGAAACACUCCUAUGUAUAGGAGCUUGACGGUAUCGUAAGAAUAAGGAUCGGCUAACUCCGUGCCAGCAGCCGCGGUAAUACGGAGGAUCCAAGCGUUAUCCGGAAUCAUUGGGUUUAAAGGGUCCGUAGGCGGUUUAAUAAGUCAGUGGUGAAAGCCCAUCGCUCAACGGUGGAACGGCCAUUGAUACUGUUAAACUUGAAUUAUUAGGAAGUAACUAGAAUAUGUAGUGUAGCGGUGAAAUGCUUAGAGAUUACAUGGAAUACCAAUUGCGAAGGCAGGUUACUACUAAUGGAUUGACGCUGAUGGACGAAAGCGUGGGUAGCGAACAGGAUUAGAUACCCAAGUAGUC